rnacentral:rRNA from 1 species
AACGAACGCUGGCGGCGCGCCUAAUACAUGCAAGUCGAGCGAGAAGACGUAGCAAUACGUUUGUAAAGCGGCGAACGGGUGAGGAAUACAUGGGUAACCUACCCUCGAGUGGGGAAGUAACUAGCCGAAAGGUUAGCUAAUACCGCGUACGCUCCUUGGACUUCGGCUCAGGGAGGGAAAGACGAUACCGUGGGUAUCGCGCUCUUGGAUGGGCUCAUGUCCUAUCAGCUUGUUGGUGAGGUAACGGCUCACCAAGGCUUCGACGGGUAGCUGGUCUGAGAGGACGAUCAGCCACACUGGCACUGCGACACGGGCCAGACUCCUACGGGAGGCAGCAGUAAGGAAUAUUGCGCAAUGGGCGAAAGCCUGACGCAGCGACGCC